rnacentral:rRNA from 1 species
CCUACGGGAGGCAGCAGUGAGGAAUAUUGGUCAAUGGACGAGAGUCUGAACCAGCCAAGUCGCGUGAAGGAUGACUGCCCUAUGGGUUGUAAACUUCUUUUAUAUGGGAAUAAAAUGUUCCACGUGUCGGAUUUUGUAUGUACCAUAUGAAUAAGGAUCGGCUAACUCCGUGCCAGCAGCCGCGGUAAUACGGAGGAUUCGAGCGUUAUCCGGAUUUAUUGGGUUUAAAGGGUGCGUAGGUGGAUUGUUAAGUCAGUUGUGAAAGUUUGCGGCUCAACCGUAAAAUUGCAGUUGAAACUGGCAGUCUUGAGUACAGUAGAGGUGGGCGGAAUUCGUGGUGUAGCGGUGAAAUGCUUAGAUAUCACGAAGAACCCCGAUUGCGAAGGCAGUUCACUGGACUGCAACUGACACUGAGGCUCGAAAGUGUGGGUAUCAAACAGGAUUAGAUACCCGGGUAGUC